CUUGCCUGGCCCAAUUACCUGCCUGCCCAAAUCCUCUCUUCAUUAAUUUACCCCCACCUCUCAUUCUCACACACACAAGAGACGGAGGUCUCCAUUUUGAAAACCCUAACCCCCAUUUCCUUCUUAACCUAGCAACUCUUUCCCCUCCCCAUUUCAGAGAACAGGAGGGUCUGAACAAAAACUUAGCCUCCCCAUCUCCUUCUUCACCUCUCAAUCAGCCGCCCACCUUUCUCUCGCCUCUCCCAGCUAGCUCUCACACACAAACACACUAGCCUUCACGCAAAAACACUCAGCAAUUAAAAAAGUAGAGCUGAAAAAAUCCAAAAAAAAUAAGAAUUUCGAACAAAAAUCCGAGAAAAAAAGGAGAACAAUGGCUUCAACUUCUUUUAGGUUUGGCGUCGAUUCUCUGGGUUUGUUGAGGAGUUUCGCUGUUGUUCCUUUUUCUCUGCUGAUCUAGGUUCUUCUGCUCAGCCAUACUAUCCGUCAGGCGAGGCGAUUGAGAGACUUCAAGAUUUGGGUCACUCAGAGUUGGAUACUCGUCGCAAGAGCGUGAUAUCGGAUUGAUUUUUGAGCUGGUUCGAGAUCCAGGUUCUUCUGCUCAGCCAUACUAUUCAUGAGGCGAGGCGAUUCAAAAACUUCAAGGAUCUGAGGCAGGUGCAUCUUGUUACCCGCCCGGUGCGCGUUCCUGAUUCCUGAUCGAGAUCUCAUGGUGAGCUCCCCCUUAUGAGCCGUUCAACAGCAUACCGGAGUUCUCUUCUUUUGGUGUCGUUAUGUACUUUCUAUUCUGUUUCGGGCAGUAGGAUAGUGAUCUUUUGUAUAUUCUACUAGUUGCCCUAGUACAUGUGACACUAGUUCCUGGCACACACUGUAGACUAUUAUUUGGGGAUGUAUUUAUGUUAUUACAAACUUGUUAAUUAUCGACUGUUUAAAAGCUUAACUGUCAAGAAAAUGUUGGGGAUGUGUUGGCAAAAUAAUUAGAACUCACUAGUUGAAUUAGGGUUGGCUUUCCUGACAACGAUGUCGGGUGUCAUCACGACCUAUGAUGGAAUUUGGGCCGUGACAAUGACAGUAUAUGACUAAUUGAGAGGGUUUCUUUGUAAUUUUGUUCA